GCCCCCGUAGCCCAACUGGCAGAGGCAACCGGCUUAAAACCGGUCAAGUGCGAGUUCGAAUCUCGUCGGGGGUACCA
rnacentral:tRNA from 1 species